UCAGGAUCAAACCCAAAUACGCUCCAAAACCCAAAUAUGAACAUUGCUUUUGUUUUGUAGCUACUAUCUUGCAUAGAGUGCGUGUCGCUUUUGUUGUUUCUGCCAACAUCUGGAUUCUUGGCAACUUCUCCUUACUUUAGAUCUUUUUAACUUGGACUCCUCUAGUCUCGGGGGAUUUUUGAAGUCCUUGAAAUUCUUUGCAGAAUUGCAUGUAUAUAAGCGUAUGUGCAUUUUGGGAGGCGGGGGCGGGGUGGGGACCCUGGCCAGAGCAAAGGGAUCAGACUCAAAAAAGCCAAGAACUGCUGCCGAAUGUGUCUUAGACUAGGAAGGAAUUAAAAUGACUUCACAAGAUGAAAACAUGGUCUAACACAAACACAGAGAUAUCCCCGAAUACCUGUUUGCUUCCAUAGCUCUAAUAGGUCCGCACCUUCUCCUUUCCUCUAACAAACAGUGCAAUGGGUGAGUCUCUUUGGCAAGAUCUUCACAGUUUCCAAGCAGCUCUUCAUGACGUGAUCCGGAGUCUGGUUGAACGGUCUGGAGGGUUUCUGAUAUAUCUGAAAAACCUCUUCCCAGCGAACACUUAAAUUAGCAGAGGAGCCUCUUCACAGUUUAGAUAAGAUUGAAUAAAGACAACUGAUGCUCAAGCCAUUACUAUGGAGAUUCAAGAACCAAGCGUGAACAGUGGUUGAGAAUCUGCCUGCCAAUGCAGGGGACACGGGUCCGAGCCCUGGUCCGGGAAGAUCCCACAUGCCGCGGAGCAACUAAGCCUGCGAGCCACAACUACUGAGCCUGCGCUCUAGAGCCCACGAGCCACAACUACUGAGACCAUGUGCCACAACUACUGAAGCCCACACGCCUAGAGCCCAUGCUCCACAACAAGAGAAGCCACUGCAGUGAGAAGCCUGUGCACCGCAACGAAGACACAACGCAGCCAAAAAUUAAAAACACAAAAAGCAGAAACAAAUAAAAUAAAAUUUCCACCGUGAACAUGCAUGACACUGUCAUAUAAAU